rnacentral:rRNA from 1 species
GACGAACGCUGGCGGCGUGCCUAAUACAUGCAAGUUGAGCGCUGAAGGUUGGUACUUGUACCAACUGGAUGAGCAGCGAACGGGUGAGUAACGCGUGGGGAAUCUGCCUUUGAGCGGGGGACAACAUUUGGAAACGAAUGCUAAUACCGCAUAAAAACUUUAAACACAAGUUUUAAGUUUGAAAGAUGCAAUUGCAUCACUCAAAGAUGAUCCCGCGUUGUAUUAGCUAGUUGGUGAGGUAAAGGCUCACCAAGGCGAUGAUACAUAGCCGACCUGAGAGGGUGGUGGGCCACAAGGGGAAUGAGAAAGGGCGCAGAAGCAGACGGGCGGCAGCAGGAGGGAAUGGUGGGAAAGGGGGGCAAACAGGACAGAGUAAAGAAGCGUGAGGGAAGAAGGGUGGAGGAUCGUAAAGAUCGGUUGGAAGUCAAGAACGGGAGGGAGAGUGGAAAGUUCACACUGUGAAGGUAGCUUACCAGAAAGGGACGGCUAACUACGUG